CGGUGCUGCGCGGGAGCGUGUAAGAGCUUCCCUCCGAGCCGUCGGCCGCCAUGCGGAGGGCCGCGCCGCCGCCGUCCUUCAGCAGCUCGGAGGGCGAAGAGCCGCUCAGCCCUUCCAGCUGCUCCUUCUCCUCUUCCGGGCGCGGCUUCCGCGAGGAAGAGGAGGAGGAGGAGGAGAGGCCCGGUUCGCUCUCGAAUACGGCCUCCCGUUGGGGAGUGAGCAGGAAGGAUGAUGACUCUGAAAUAACAGAAGCAAAUGAGCGCUCGCCUUUGAAAGAUCAUCUUUCACCAUGGGAAGAAUGGUUCAUUGGAAAAGAGAAGGAACUACGUGCCCACUUACAAGCUAGAGCUGCAGAGGAGAUGAAUAUACAACUUGAGAAAAUGAAGGAAAAGGAAGAAUUUGAGAGAAGGAAAAGGACAGCUGAAAAGAAGCUCAGAGAAUGGAUGGAAAAAAAAAGAGAAGAGGAAAAGAGGGAAAGAGAACGAAAAUUGAGCAAAGAAAUGGCAGAGAAAGCCACAAAGGAACUAGAAAAAAUGCAGUUACAAGAAAAGGCCGAAGUGAAGUAUAAUGAGUGGUUAAAGAAGAAGAGAGCUGAAGAGUCAGAAAAGAGGAAGAAAGAGAAGGAAAAAGAAAAAGAAAGGCAGGCUGAGCUGCAAAAGAAGAAAGAGAGAGCAGAGAAGAUCUUUAAUGAAUGGCUACAUAAUGCUAGAAAUAAACCACGCCCUGUAUUAAAUGGUUAUGGCUUUCCACAUGGGAAGUCUGCAGGGCGUCCUGAUGGGAAUUCAUAUCCAGCUCCAGCAUAUUGCAACCCCAUUCCUUGGAAACCAGUACACAUUCCUCCUCCAAAGGAAGAAAGUGCUCUUACCAUGAAGAACAGGCUGGGUUUGCUGGAAGAAGCCAGAUGAUGGUUACAUGGUAAUGCAGUUUGCAUCACAGAAGUCCUAUCAUACUGGAAAAUAUAGUCAUGGAGACAUUUGGCAGAGCACAGAAAUGCGACUGAGGCAGACUUCAGGAGCCAACUAAAGAAGUGGAAGGCUUCUGUUAAGCUGGUACUCCUGCAGAACUCAGCUUCUGGAAUGGACUGUUGCAAACCUUGAAAGGCUGAAAGUGGAUACUCUUUUGUGAGAGUCGCAUUGUGCCAGCCCUCCAACUCUGCACGUUUGUGAAAUGAAGCUCCUGAACCAGAGAUGACAACUGAUUGACUAGUGGCAUUCUUUUUAGACCCACUCACCAGCCAGUUACGCCAGAAAGCUGUCUGAAUACCUUUUUCUUGCUUGCUGUGGAGAUGUGAUGAAGAUGCACUCCACCUCAGCUCUCUGAGAUUAGGCCCCCUUACAAGCUGAUGGUGGAUCACUGUGUCAAACUGCAUUACUUGAGCACACUGAUCUUGUGAGGAAGCCAGGACAUCAUCCUGGAGGCUGCAGCUUGUGGUCUGUGAGACCCUGAGAUUUUGGACCUCCUCCUGGGGCCUCUUCUCUCCUAAGGAGCAUAAGCCCAGCAGCUCUGCAGGGGAAAUCAUGCAUUGGAAAACCAUCAGUUGGACUCCUCUGGUGUUGCAGUUGAAGAUGUGGACUGGUUGCAAAGAAUCCAACGAGAAGCAUGGAGUAUAAUAAGCGGUCUCAAAUAUGACCAAAGAGCUGCAGUGUGUGGCCUUGACACAGCCACUCCUGCCUCUCCAGGAGAGGGAGAGGGGCAUCUGCCAGCACCUCCAAAGGGCUGCCACGUCAACCUGCCUGUGAGGCCUCUGGAGCCCAACUGAAGGACUGCUGGGCUGUGAGCAAGCUCUUCAGUGCUUUCUAUGAAAAUCUCUUGAUGUUAAGACUGGAAAAGUGACUGCAAAAUCUCCACAAGAUGAUUCAAGCCUUGAAGCCAAGGUCACAGUCUCAUCCUGGAGCAUCACUGGAAAGCUGCACUUAAAAGAGAGGUCCUGGAGAUCCAGGUCUCAUUGCUUUAGCCUCAGUUCUCAUGAAUGAAAUGUUCAACUUACCACUAAAAAUUUGAUAUUAUGCAGGAUGGAGAUUAAAAAAAACCACUCUCUUUCCAUUUUUUUAAUUUGAAUUCAUUCAAAUCAGCAUUUUCAAAAUGUUUUGAAUUUUCAGGGCAACAUGUUCUGCUUUCCCUGAGAAACUCUUAUUUGUUGAAUAUCAUGAUAUUUAUGAAGGAUCUCACUCACUCAAAACUUGCUGUUUAAAUCCUUCUUUUGAAUGCUUUUUCCUCUAUACAGCUGGGCAUGCAAACUAGAUGAGGUCAAACGUUUGAGUUUGCUUCGAUUCUGCUGUCUGGACUUUUGUGGAUGUUUGCCUGAAUCAAACUGUAAGCAAUUCCAAAAAAGCGUCUGACUCUGUGAAGCGUAGUGUGCCUUCAUCUGCUUCUUGACCCACAGUCUGUCAGAAUAUGGCUGCUUUCUCAGUUUUUGUUGGGUGUCUUCCAGCCCUACUGUAUUUUCCAUUUCACCUCCUUUAUUAGUGUGACUAAGCACCUCUUGAGGGUUACUCUGACAUGGUUGGUUUGCUUGAGUUGAUAAUUUCUGAGAGUUAUACAGCUGGACUUGUGUUUUUAAGUUUCUCAUUACCCCAUAAUUUUUUAUUUUUUAAUUUUUUUGCCUUGGAAUGGCUCAAGGAAAUGCACGCAAACUCAAAUCUGCAUGUGGUUUUACUUGGAAGGCUUAAUGAGAGAUGAUGACCUAUGUGUUUCUAGACUGUUUCUACAACAAGAAAGUUAUUUUGAAUUCUGUACGGAACUUCUCUCACAUAUUCAAACAUGAAGAUAUUGAGCAGCUACUUUUUCAGCUAGAAAACAGUGCAUCUGAGCAGUUGCAGAACAUUGUAUUGACAAACUUUCUUCUUCUUGCUCACCACAUUCUCUUUUUACGAAGGAAUGACCUUGGCCCCAAAAGUUAGUCCCAUAUUUCCCUCUGGCCUUUCAAGGCAUGUUACAAAUCAUCCUUUGAUGAUUUGAUGCAGCCUUUAUGAUUUUUGCUAACAAUUAAACUCCACAAAAUUAAUGUGUUGGCUUUUAUGGACAGUAUCCGGGUUGAAGAGCAAGGCAGGCUACAAAGAGAAGGGAAAACCCAAGAGUUGAGGCAGGUAACUGUGGGAAGUAUGGCUCUGCUGCCUCAGCAUGGGCUGGGUGCUUCAGGCAUGACUAGCUUUGAUCCUGGGCUCUCGUGGUUGCCUGGCUUUGCUCACAUGCCGAUGUCAGUAGGAUUACAAGAGACGUUAAAUGGGAUGAGGGUUUGCUGUAUUGCACCUUUGGUCUGUACCCACUGCUGGGGACCACAUGAACAAUGUGGCUGUGGGCGGCUGGAGUCACUGCUCUGAGUCAUGCCACUCAGUGGACUUGAGUUAGCAUCUCACUGGAAGACACUUCAGUUGAAAAUAAAAUAAAGUCAAGCACAGGAAUCUAGUGUCUCAUCUCUCCCAUGUGCUAGGACCACCUGCCUCUAACUAAACAUGUCUG